CAGGUCAUCUCCCUCCAGGGAGGAGUCAGUCGUGACAUGGACUACCUUAAUGGUCCCGGCCAUCGGGGAGUUGACCACGGUCUCCAUCUUCAUGGCUGAGAGGACACACAGCGGCUGACCCUUCUCCACCUUUAAUGGUGAUGAAGAUAAGUUCACAGAGCAUUAAAAACACCAGUUAGAUGUACAGAUCACUGAACAGGCACUGGAGUUGAAGGUUAACAAGUAAAGUACACUCCAAGAGCUGAAGUCGAUAUUUCACUUUGACAUGAAAUCCAAACACUUUGUAGCUUAUGAGAGUAAGAAGAUCAGUCAGUGUGUUUCACUACAUUUACAUGGACACCAAUAUUCUGAUAUCAACCUGAGACACUGUCAUGUAAACACCAUUUUCUGAUUACCUCAAUCUAAAUAUAAAUCAUAAAGUAAACAAGUAGUGGGACGUAAUGGUGACAUGAGUCAUAAUCAGACUGUGCUCUGUAACAUGUCAACAGGAAUAUGAAUGAGAUAUUCUAUUGCCAGCUGUCAAAUAAUCAAGAUAUUUCUGUCCAUGUAAACUGUCAGUGUGAAGAAUUAGUUCACACCAAAAACACUUUGCAAAUGUAAGUGUCAUUAUUUUGAAAUACAGGUCUCUGAGGUUUCUCCUCUCUCCCACCACAAUGGAGAUGAAUGUAUUUAAUUUAUGCUGCUCAUAGAAAAAUGACAGCGCCCCCAUAACUCUGGAUAAUGUAAAGACAUCAGAGGAGUUUCCAUAGGGGAAUUUUUACUACAAUGAGCCCCACAAAUGUAAUUUCAAUCAUGUCCUUGGUGCUAGAUCAUCAGAAUCUCAGUAUCAAACACUGCAGAGUACAUCUGUGAUCACAGUGUUUGAUUAAAGUCAUCAUUUUACCACCUUUAGACUUUUGGUGAGACAACAUUAGAAAUAUGGAGUUUCUUUGUUGAACUAUGAAAAGAUUGGAUCAUUAUUCAGCCAGGCAAAGACUUAAACUUCUUCUUCUUAGUAUUAUAGAAUUAGAUUAGGAGUAAUAAUGUUUUUUUAAAAGGCUCCACUGCAUUUGGCGAUUAGGCAGAAAUCUCAUGGACAGUGCUGGGUGGUGUUUAGGUCUGUUUUAGUUGCUGAUAAACAGAUUAGUUGGUUGGCUGAUGCCUGCACUUGCAAAGUACAUUUAUUUAAAGCCGUUUAGUUUUUUAAAUACAUUUUGGGAAGGAAAAAGUCUUGAUGUGUUGGACAUUUUAAGAGAGUGAAAAGCGAAAUGCCCUCAUUUAUGUUCCUUUAAGGGUCUCGUUCAUCAACAGUGUGGGAAAAGGUAGCUGGGUGUUAUAGCGAUUCAUUAGUCCCACACACAUAAAAACCGAGCAGACAGUUUCCUCAUUAAGCAGCAUUUCUGCUCUGCUUGCACAAAUGUAGCCCCUUGAGAAUGAGGCUGUGAUGAGCGCGACUGUACCUGUGAACUCUUAACAGCUCAACACGUGUUCAAUUGACUCUUGAGACGGCGAGAGUGGCUGACGUCUCAGCUCUUUUUGUUGGUCUCUUGACAUACUGACCACUGCUGAUUGGCUGUUUGGUGUUUCCUCCUGCCAGGGUCCUGGGAGUCUGAGGGGGGGCAGUGUCUGUUCCAAGGACUGCACUCUUCUGGACAGAGAUCUGCUGGUGCCAGUCUCCCAGUUUGGGGAUUACCGCCUCCAGUAUAUCCCCUAUCACUGGGUUGCUUGUGUAAUAGCAUGUUGAAAUCAGCCACUGUCCCCACCUCUAAAGUCCCAAAAGUCAAAUGAACGAGCGAGCAAGAGUUGAGGUGUUGAGAGAGUCCAGCUCGCACUCACUGCAGCCCCGUGCUUGUGGAACCACAUUUGUGCUCGAGUCUUGAGACCAUGGCUAUGAGGGAGGUGCAGCUCUCUAACCAAUGCUGCUUGAUUUAGCAGCAUUUCCCACUCAGGGAGAAAGCAGUGGUUGAAUCGUUGUAUGUAGUUGCAUCUAUCAUGAUCAGAUUUUUAAUAAGAUUCAUUGUCUAGCACAAAGUGUUUGGCCUUGGCAGAGGUAUGGACUCCACUGACUGCCAUGUUAAUGUUUAACUGAACUGACCCUUUAACCCAACAUAAUCAAAUGUGAUGAAAAAUGAAUUAUUGAAAAAGAUGAGGCUAACAAUAAACUGACCUUGGAUCCGACCUCCACUUUGACCUCCAGGACUUUUCCAGGCAUGGGUGCUCCCACUUGACCCUUGAUAGAUUUCUGGGCCUUGGGAUGGAACUUCAUUUCCUGGGUGGAGGGACAAAGAUUUCAUGCAGUCAUGUGUCCAUUCAAUCAAUUCAUUUACUCUGUCUUCCUCCAUUUAUUCACUUAUCCAACCAACAAUCCUCCUCCCUCUAGCCAUCUAUGUAUUUAGCUGCACUGACAUCUAUCUGUCAUCCAUAAUUUAUCUAUCUACCAACCCAUGCUUCUCUUCUUACGUCAACACCUCCCUCUAUGUAUCAACCCACUGACUAUCCCUGUAUCAUGUCCCACGGUCCCUCCCCUCUGUACCUUCAUGGCGAGGGUGUCUUUAACCAGCACAGAUCUCAGCUGUCCGUUCAGCUCAAAGAAGACCUCUCUCUGACCGGCCUUGUUCAGGUCACCCAGUGCCAGCGCCUUGAUGUGGAGGAUCUUCCCUCUCUCCAGCUCCACCUGAGGUAAAUCAAAGCCAGAGAGUGGAGGAGGAAGGGAACAGGAGGGGGAGGACAGAGGAGAGAAAAUGGAAGGAGAGGAAGAGUGUGAAGGAGGAAGGGACAGAAUUUAUAUUAGACUUUUGAGUAAUCCCCAGGAUGCACUCUGUUGAAGGGUAGGAAACCAUCCAGGUUGUCAUUCCACGAGAAGGGACUUUUUUAACCUCACUUCAUUUAAAUGGACAAAUAAAUGAAUAAUGUUGCAAUGUA